UACAGAGGGGGCAAGCGUUGUUCGGAAUUACUGGGCGUAAAGGGCGCGUAGGCGGCCUUCUAAGUCGAACGUGAAAUCCCCGGGCUCAACCCGGGAACUGCGUCCGAUACUGGAAGGCUUGAAUCCGGGAGAGGGAUGCGGAAUUCCAGGUGUAGCGGUGAAAUGCGUAGAUAUUGGGAGGAACACCAGUGGCGAAGGCGGCUCACUGGACCGGUACUGACGCUGAGGCGCGAAAGCGUGGGGAGCAAACGGG
rnacentral:rRNA from 1 species